rnacentral:rRNA from 1 species
AGCGUAGGCGGGUUUCUAAGUCAGGUGUUUAAUCCCGGGGCCCAACCCCGGACAGGCACUUGAAACUGGGAAUCUUGAAUAGUGGAGAGGUCAGUGGAAUUGGGGGUGUAGCGGUGGAAUGCGUAGAGAUCCCCAAGAACACCAGUUGCGAAGGCGGCUGACUGGACACAUAUUGACGCUGAGGCUCGAAAGCAUGGGGAGCAAACAGGAUUAGAUACCCUGGUAGUCCAUGCCAUAAACGAUGAUUACUAGGUUUUGGGCCCGUCAACGGUCCAGAGCCGCAGCUAACGCGUUAAGUAAUCCGCCUGGGGAGUACGGUCGCAAGACUGAA